AAGUGAUAACCCGCUCCUUUCUGUGGAAAGAGAUAACAAAACCAUGUGGAGAAAAGACUCAUAUUUGCUAUCUAGUCAUUUCCAGAAGGGAAUUAAGAUUAGCAAAGGAAAUGGACUCACUUUGCUUGAUCAGAGGGAAUUAAAAGUCUGACGGAUAUCAAAAAGCUAAUCCAUCAUGAUCAAGCAGGCUUUAUCCCUGGGAUGCAAGGUCAUAUAAUGGGUAUACUUUUAUACCCAUUUCAUAUUGAAUGGGACUCUGAAGCAAGAUAUGCCAGGUUACUUGCCCAGGGUUAUAGUUUUUCAGAAGCAGACUUGGUAGCAAGACCUUGUUCAGCAUUUCUUCUCUUACACAGCAUUUCUACGAUCAAAAUCAGAUGAUUUAUGUGGCCAUGGAAUGAAAGGUGAGAUAGUACUUGCCAAUAUUAGAUGAUGUGACUCUCAGUUGUGACCCAAAAUGUCUAAUCUGUCUGAGCUUUUGAGGAAAAGCUGCAUAUGUGAAAUCACAGGUACUAUUUAGAUGGUGUUGAAAAGCUGCCCUUCUUGAGAUAGAUUCUUUAAUGCAAUUUUGUCAGCUUUCUCUCUCAAGAGAUCGAAAGUCUUUUUGCAACCCCACUUUUCUGCAUAAAGACUGAGGAGGAAAGAUAUUCAAGGCUUUUUCUUCAUGAAGUGAAUGAUGGAUAAUAAAGGCCGGGGGUGUAUUAAAAUAGGAUUGCAAUCUGAACUUUUAGUAGCUGCUCUCAAGUUUUGGAUAAGCAUCAAGUCUGUUCGUUUAAAUUCCUUUUAGAAUUUCAAUCUUCUUCCCCUAAGACAGGUUAUUAAAGCACAUUGGCUCUCAAAAUCCCAAAAGACCAGCAUCAAAAGGACAGUAAAAAGUAUAUAACACUUUCCCUACUUAUUUUAAUAAGCAGCUGCUUCAGAUGAAAAACUUGAAGAUAAAUAUAUUUUAAAAGUACUUCCAUAAAUGCAUGUUGGCAGGGUAUGUUAGAGUCCAUAAACAAGAUUAAAAAGUAAAUUUCUUUAGGCUCACAGAAAAUGAUCGAUCCCAAUUGGAAGCUUGGUCUACCAUUGGUUACCAUUUGAAUCCAGGUGCAGAUAUUUUGGCAACCAAUUGCAGAAUAAUCCAUUUAUAUGGAAUCUGCAAUCUACUUAAUUAGGAUUCUGGAAAAGUCAAAUGGAAAAGCCAAAACACUCUGCAUGUCUCUCCCAUUUACUCAGCAUCCUGGCUCAUGAGGCAAAGAAAUUCUUUGUCCUAGGAGUCUGGCUAAUUUAGAUUUAGCCAAUUAUCACUGGGACAAUCUCUGUUUCAUACUGGCUUUCAGGGAGUUUACACAGGUUGAUCGUUUUCCAUAUGUGGAUUUUCACAUAUUGUUCUUCCCUCCCAUGUAUCAAAUUUUAGCUGAUCUUUUGGAAUGAGGGAACGAAUAUUGUAAGUAACAGAAAUUUUUAAAUGUGUCUGUGACUUUUCCUUCUUUUCUUUUCUUUUGAGAUGGAGUUUCACUCUUGUUACCCAGGCUGGAGUCCAAUCUCGGCUCACCGCAACCUCCGCCUCCUGGGUUCAGGCCUCUCCUGCCUCAGCCUCCUGAGUAGCUGGGAUUACAGGCACACGCUACCAUGCCCAGCUAAGUUUUUUUUUUUUUUUUUGUAUUUUUAGUAGAGACGGGGUUUCACCAUGUUGACCAGGAUGGUCUCGAUCUCUUCACCUCGUGAUCCACCCGCCUCGGCCUCCCAAAGGGCUGGGAUUACAGGCUUGAGCCACCGUGCCUGGCCGACUUUUCCUUCUUAACCCAUUUAUGCCAGAGGUUGCAUAAUAUUUUGUGUGAAAAAUCAGACCUUGGCGGUGACCUUGAGCAGUAGGAUAUAAAUAACUCCCAGAAGCUUAGCAUUCCAAUAAUGGAACACUAGGCAUUUAAGCUGAAUUUUCUUCCUUAUGCUUAAUGAGAGAUUUAGAGAAAGAACAAGGGGAUCAACUAUGGCUGAAGCUGUAAGACGUAUGAGAGAAAAAAGAAGAUGAUAUCUACGUGUCAGUGUUGGUAAACCUCUGGCAUAGGGGAAAAUCAGUUGCAUCAUUAAAGGUUGUCCCUGUUUAUCUUCUAGUGGCCUGGCCCCAGGAACUACCGUGUGGCUCCUGUGCUCUACAUAUUAGCAAGAACUGUACCGUCAGGAUCAGGAACAAACUCAGCUGAGAUUGUGAGGUCAAAUGUGAGCAACAGUUGGUCACUAAGGUCAGAUCUGUCUGCUUUUAUGUAUCCCCUAAUACAAUGUGGAGACGGGAGUACCAUGAGAACUGGGCUUGAAUUCUGAACCCAGUACCUUCUGAGCACAGUGCCCUUAAGCUCCCUCACUGCAUAAUCUCGAGGAGUUACUUCACACCUCUUGACCACAUGUCCCUCAUUUGUAAAACUGGAUUUGAAACUAUCUACCUCAUAAGGUUACUGUGCAGAUUAAAUAACACAAUGUAGGCAAAAUUAUAAACACAGUGUCCAGUACCAGGAUAGAUCUAAGUAAAUGGCAGCUAAGUCUCAAAAAAAAAAAAGAUUACUCAUAGCUCUGUGCCCUGGAGAAAGCAGACCUUGUCCCUAGGAUGAAUGUCAGCUAUCUCUCAAGAUCUAUGUGAUAAUUAAAUGUACAUACAUUAUGUUACUAAAAUACAGUUUAUUAAAAUCCCCUAGUUAAAUGUCUGGCAUUUGGAUGGUGCUUAAUAAAUAUUAGCCUAAUGUGAACCUGUGCCCUCAACAUCGCUUCUUAUGAUUACAAUAAUGUGGCACUGAUUAACCAUAUGUGUACAAGAAAAUCUUUAAGACAAUUUUCCAUGAUAAUGAAACUUUAAAGUUUUAUUUUAUUACAUUUAAGAAACAUCUUAAGGGAAUUAAGUAACUAUAAAAUAGAUAAAGGAUAAAAUUAAAUAAGCUCUGCCACACGGUCAUGUCAGAUUUAUUUAAGGGUUCUGGAUAGCUUGAGCCCACUAGUGCCUCUUGAUAAAGUCAAAUAUGUAUGCUUUUAAUUUCCAGGUCAAUAAAGGUAACAAACGGUAAAAAUGGCUUUUGAGGGAAGACAAAGUAAAUUAAGAAAACUGGGGGAAUUAGCUUCUAGGGAAAUUGUUUGCCACUAUCUCAGCAUUAAAUCUUAAAAAAGAUAAAAUUAAUAGUAGGUUUUCUUUAUUUUUUUUUAUUAUCCUUUUAGUUUCCCUAAGUAUUUUCACCAAGGCUUGAGUUUUCACCACAACUAGGAAAGUUCAAAUUGUAUACUCUUUAAUCUACAGGCAUUCUUUUCACAAGUUCGCCUACGAUGUUGAGCUGGAAGUUAAAGAGCUGAGCUACUGUGAAGACAUUAAGAUGAAUAUAUUUAAUCUGGGCAUGGUGGCACGUGCUUGUAGUCCUCGCCGCUCAGCAGGCUGAGGUGGGUGGAUCACUUGAGCCCAGGAGUUCAAAGUUGCACUGAGCUAUGAUCGUGCCACUAUGCUCCAGUUUGGGUGACAGAGCAAGUCUCCAUCUCAAAAGAAAAAAAAAAAAAUAUGGGUAUAUUUUGCCACCAAUUUCACCAAAAUUUCUCUUCCAUACCCACCCAUCAUUACAUUUUGGAUGUGUCAUAGACAUUGUAAUGGGGAAACUUUCACAAAACUGUUUUUAUACAAACCCAAAACUACAGAAUUUUCCAGGUCUUAUGACAAUUCCAUUUUUUGAUUUUUGCAAGCAUUAUGCAGAAACUGCUAAAACAUAGGUUAAGACAAUAAAAGAAAACUAAAAUGAUGAGUCUCUUUCCCAAAACACUAUUACCAUAAGUGAUAAAAUGUCAACUGUGCUGGAAAAGGAUUCUCACAAAUGCAAGCCUGCGGGAUGCUACAGCAGAACUUGUACUUCCUUGUUUUACCAUUAGUUUAUGUUUAAACCUGCUUCACAAAGAGGGAAUGGCACACAAUAAAAAUAAAAUUGCAUAUAUUAUGACGUAGUUCAUGGAAGGUAAGUUAGAAUGAUCUUUUAUUUUCUAAUUUUCUUUUAAUAGGCUAAUUAUGAAAUACAUAUUGACUAUAAUAUGGGACCACAAGGGAUGCAAUCCAGAAAUUCUUUUGAAUGGUUAAAUUAGUGCAUAGCACUUAUUAAUAUAUUAGAAAAAUUAUGUAGAAAGAAAUGAUGUUAAAAUUCUAGUGACAACUAUGUUAGAGCAUCUAGAAGCCUCCUUAUGCUGUGAAUUACAUAAAGGUAUGGAAAUGGAAGCAUGGCUACUUCCAAUCACUAGGCUUGGUCUUACAGUUUCAUACCAGGAAAAAAGCCAACUUUAAGAUAAUAUAGACAGGAUGCACUUAGUGCCUGAGAAAGAAUUUACUCACCUUAGUCAUGCAUCUAUUAUUAAGCAUGUUCUCCUGGAACAGUCAACAAUAAAUCAAUAAAAUAUAUCCCUUCUGUUAACAUAGUGUCUACCCCUUUGAGGCUAUUUUCCUUACUUUUAUAAGUCAUCAUUUUUAGAGAAGUUUCUUUUUCCUCUGGAAGUAAAACUGACACCUGGUCAGAAAAUUUUCUUUGACCCUUUUCAAAAUAUUAAUAUGCCUUGAGUAUAUAGUCACUGUAAGGUUUACACAUUAGGCAAAUGAACACAGAUAUUAGAGGGGAAAUUUAUUUCUAAAGUUUGGAUUAAAUAGAAUUCUUACUUUUGUUCAUUCAAAAAGCAAUUUAACACUAUUUUAGAAAAACAAUACAUUUUCUAAUUUGUGUGUAUAUGUAUGUAUCCUACUUCAUUGCAAAUAACACAAUUCCUUUUUUUUAUUAUUAUACUUUAAGUUCUGGGAUACAUGUACAGAACAUGCAGGCUUGUUUCAUAGGUAUACAUGUGCCAUGGUGGUUUGCUGCACCCAUUAAUCCAUUGUCUACAUUAGCUAUUUCUCCUAAUGCUAUCCCACCCCCAGCCCUCCACUCUCCGACAGGCCCUGGUGUGUGAUGUUCUCCUCCCUCUGCCCAUUUGUUCUCAUUGUUCAACUCCCACGUACGAGUGAGAAUAUGCGGUGUUUGGUUUUCUGUUCCUGUGUUAGUUUGCUGAGAAUGAUGGUUUUUCUAGCUUCAUCCAUAUCCCUGCAAAGGACAUGAAUUCAUUCUUUUUUAUGGCUGUAUAGUAUUCCAUGGUGUAUAUGUAUCACUUUUUCUUUAUCCAGGCUAUCAUUGAUGGGCAUUUGAGUUGGUUCCAAGUCUUUUCUAUUGUGAAUAGUGCUGCAAUAAACAUAUGUGUGCAUGUACCUUUAUAGAAUGAUUUAUAAUCCUUUGGGUAUAUACCCAGUAAUGGGAUUGCUGGGUCAAAUGGUAUUUCUGGUUCUAGAUCCUUGAGGAAUCGCCACACUGCCUUCCACAAUGGUUGAACUAAUUUAUAAUCCUACCAACAGUGUAAAAGUGUUCCUAGGCCUCCACAUCCUCUCCAGAAUCUGCUGUUUCCUGAUUUUAAUGAUUGCCAUUCUAACUGGCAUGAGAUGGUAUCUCACUGUGGUUUUUAUUUGGAUUUCUCUAAUGAUCAGCGAUGAUGAGCUUUUUUUUCUUGUGUUUUUUGGCCACAUAAAUGUCUUUUGGUAAGUGUCUGUUCAUAUUCUUUGCCCACUUUUUUGAUGGGGUUAUUUUUUCUUGUAAAUUUGUUUAAGUUCCUUGUAGAUUCUGGAUAUUAGCCCUUUGUCAGAUGGAUAGAUUGCAAAAAAAUUUCUGUACAAUUCUUAAAAAACAGUGAAA